GACGAACGCUGGCGGCGUGCUUAACACAUGCAAGUCGAACGAAGUGGCGAACGGGUGAGUAACGCGUAAUCAACCUGCCCUUCAGAGGGGGACAACAGUUGGAAACGACUGCUAAUCCCGCAUACUGAAGGAGGGGAUUGCGUCUGAUUAGCUAGUUGGAGGGGUAACGGCCCACCAAGGCGAGGAUCAGUAGCCGGUCUUAGAGGAUGAACGGCCAAGUUGGGACUGAGACAAGGCCCAGACUCCUACGGGAGGCAGCAGGUGGGAAUCUUCCGUCAUGGACGAAAGUCUGACUGAGCAACGCCGCGGGAGUGAUGACGGCCUUCGGGUUGUAAAGCUCUGUUAAUCGGGACGCGGUACCGGAAUAGAAAGCCACGGCUAACUACGUGCCAGCAGCCGCGGUAAUAC
rnacentral:rRNA from 1 species